ensembl:lncRNA
UAUAUUUGCACUGUAUUAUCAGAAACCUUGUGAAAUGGAGUUAUACUUUCAAAUUCACACCCUCAUUAUACUGCAAAUCAGAUGUGUUAACUCUGUCCCCCUGAUUUCCCCCUUACAGCCUGAACCAUGUCAAACCCAUUAGUGAAUCUCCAGUAUCUCCAAUGUGGCAGGUUAGCGGCUGACACUGCUUUUUACAUGGUUGCUCUCCAAGCGCACUGGAAUCUGACGUGCUAAGACCUGCAACACAGCACCCCAGAUACCAGUGACACAAGCGUCAGGCGAAGAACCACAGCCGCUGAUGUUCAGUCAUUGGGCUUAUUGCAGACACUUCAAAU